GACAGAGGGUGCAAACGUUGUUCGGAAUUACUGGGCGUAAAGCGAGUGUAGGCGGUCUUGUAAGUCGGAUGUGAAAGCCCCGGGCUCAACCCGGGAAGUGCACUCGAUACUGCGAGGCUAGAGUGUCGGAGAGGUUGGUGGAAUUCUCGGUGUAGAGGUGAAAUUCGUAGAUAUCGAGAGGAACACCGGUGGCGAAGGCGGCCAACUGGACGAACACUGACGCUGAGACUCGAACGACGUGGGAGGCAAACAGG
rnacentral:rRNA from 1 species